UAAUAUAAGCACUAACACCAGGGGUGCAGGUUAUGAGCUCUCAACACAAUUCAUAUCAUUAAUAAUUCACAUGAACACAUAAAACUCACCUGAUACUCACCUGUGCGUCCACAGCACCAUUUCAUAUAUAUGCAUCAAAUACUAAUUCAUUUAAUUCAUAUAUUAUGUAUGCAUGGCAUUUUAAAACAUACUUUCAUUUAAAUUCAAUUUCUGGGAAACAUCAGUAGUACAUAGGUAUAAACCGAAAAUAACUGCCCACUCACCUGGAGUUCGCCCUACAACUCCCUAGCACAACACAUCAAGACGUCAUGAUGAUCGGCG
rnacentral:lncRNA from 1 species